rnacentral:lncRNA from 1 species
AAAUCCAAAUAGAAUAUAAGAAGUUAAUGACCGAUUACCAUAGCAGUAUACCAAUACAAUCCAACCAAAUAGAAUAUAAUAAGUUAACGACCAAUUACCAUAGCAGUAUACCAAUAUAAAGGUACAUCUUAGUAUAAAGUACAUAACAAAGAAAUCAAACUCAACCACAGUAACGACGGCGGCGACGGGCAGGUAAGACCUCAUCUACUGAAUCGUCAUCAUCAUAGGUAACGACGGCGGCGACGGGCAGGUAAGACCUCAUCUACUGAAUCGUCAUCGUCAUAGUGGCGAUUCCUCCUUUUAGAUUGAGGUUGCUUUGGCAAGACCUCGUCUAGUGAAUCAUCAACAUAGUGAGGAUGUCCUCUUUUGGCUUGACGUUGCUUUGGUAAGUCCUCA